AGGAUAAACGCUGGCGGCGUGCCUAACACAUGCAAGUCGCACGAGAAAGGGACUUCGGUCCUGAGUAAAGUGGCGCACGGGUGAGUAACACGUGAAUAAUCUACCUCCGAGUGGGGAAUAACUGAGAGAAAUCUUAGCUAAUACCGCAUAACACUUACGGGUCAAAGCAGCAAUGCGCUUGGAGAGGAGUUCGCGGCAGAUUAGUUAGUUGGCGGGGUAAUGGCCCACCAAGGCGAAGAUCGGUA
rnacentral:rRNA from 1 species